UACGUAGGAUGCGAGCGUUGUCCGGAAUUACUGGGCGUAAAGCGUGCGUAGGCGGUCCCGCAAGUCCGCUGUGAAAGCCCCGAGCUUAACUUGGGAACUGCAGUGGAAACUAUGGGACUUGAAUCCGGCAGAGGGGGGUGGAAUGCCACGUGUAGCAGUGAAAUGCGUAGAGAUGUGGCGGAACACCGAUGGCGAAGGCAGCCCCCUGGGCUGAGAUUGACGCUCAGGCACGAAAGCGUGGGGAGCAAACAGG
rnacentral:rRNA from 1 species